ACGUUUGAUGUCUAUGUUGUUGGCAAAGAAAAUGCUCCCGGAGUUGUAGUGUUGCAAGAGUGGUGGGGUGUUGACUAUGAGGUCAAGAAUCAUGCCAUCCAUAUUUCCCAAAUCGGCGAUGGAUACAGAGCACUUAUUCCAGAUUUGUACCGUGGGAAGGUUGCUUUGGAGGUAGCUGAGGCGCAACAUCUGAUGGAAGGACUAGACUGGCAGGGUGCAAUCAAGGAUAUCCAGGCUUCAGUCAAAUGGCUCAAGGAAAAUGGAUCGCCCAAGGUUGGUGUCACUGGUUAUUGCAUGGGAGGUGCUUUGGCAAUUGCAAGUGGAGUUUUGGUCCCAGAGGUUGAUGCUGUUGUUGCUUUCUAUGGGACGCCAUCUUCGGAGCUUGCUGAUGCUUCCAAGGCUCAGGCUCCAAUCCAGGCCCAUUUUGGGGAGCUUGACAGUUUUGUUGGGUUUGCAGAUGUUACCGCGGCCAAGUCGUUGGAGGAGAAGCUCAAGGCUUCUGGAGUGGAACAUGAAGUCCACAUAUACCCUGGAUGCUCUCAUGCCUUCAUGAACGCGUCGCCUGAGGCCCUCAAGAGGAGGAAGGGCAUGGGUCUGACUGAUGAGAAUCAGGGGGCCAUUGACCUGGCAUGGUCUCGCUUCUCUACUUGGAUGGGUCGUUUCCUGGGAUCUGCAUGA
rnacentral:rRNA from 1 species